rnacentral:tRNA from 1 species
GGGCUCCUAGCUCAGUUGGUUAGAGCAUCUGGUUUACACCCAGAGGGUCGGGGGUUCGAGUCCCUCGGGGCCCA